rnacentral:lncRNA from 1 species
CUGUAGCUGCUGACGUUGUAGUGGUUGGGGACAUAUUUGUUGUCGUAAAAGCUACAGUUGUUGUUGUAGGUGCUGCUGUUGUGGUUGUCGUUGUAGGUGCUGCUGUUGUAGUGGUCGUAGUAUCUAAAGUUGUAGUAGGAGUAUCAGUUGCGGUUGUCGUAAGAGCUGCGUUUGUAGUGGUCGUAGUGGGUGCUUCUGUUGUAAUGGUCGUGGGAUCUAAAGUUGUAGUAGGAGCUGCAGUUGUGGUUGUCGUAGGAGCUGCAUUUGUAGUUGUUGUAGUAGGUGCUGCUGUUGUAGUGGACGUAGGAGCUACAGAUAUUGUAUUUGGAGCUGUGGUUGUGGUUGUCGUAGGAGCUUCAGUUGUCGUUGUUGUAGGAACUGCAUAUGUAGUGGUUGUAAGAGCUGCAGUGGUUGUUGAAGUAGGUGCUGCAGUUGUAGUCGUCAUAGGAGCUACAGAUGUUGUCGUAUGAGAUACAGCUGUGGUUGUCGUAGUAGGUGUUGUGGUUGUCGUAGUUGGUGUUGUAGUUGUCGUAGUAGGUGUUGUAGUUGUCGUUGUAGUUGUCGUUGUAGGCGCUGAAGUUGUGGUUGUCGUAGCAGCUUCAGUUGUAGUUGUCGUAGCAGGUGCUGCAGUUGUGGUUAUCGUAGGAGCUUCAGUUGUAGUUGUUGAAGUAGGUGCUGCAGUUGUAGUGGUUGUAAGAGCUACAGUUGUAGUAGGAGCUACAGUUAUUGUCAUAGGAGCUACAGUUGUUGUAGUAGGAGCUGCAGUUAUUGUUAUAGGAGCUACAGUUGUUGUCGUAGGAGCUGCAGUUGUCGUAGGAGCUGCAGUUGUCGUAGGAGCUUCAGUUGUGUUAACUGCAGUUGUGGUCGGAACUCCAUGGAUAUUCCAGCAUAAAA